GGUCAUCCUGGGGUCACCCUGGGGACAGUCUAGGGAAGGAGAAGGCCGUGGCAACAGGGGGGAGGUGAGAAAGGGGGUGGGGAAAAUGGCAGCUGAGGGACUGGCCAGGAGCUGCUAUCCUUUGUCUGCCUGGCUUUUACGCGUGUGUGGGGACAAAGCCUCUCUGCUAGAAAGGGCUCCUUUUCCCUAGAGAUCUGCGGUGUGUGAGUGUGUGUGUGUGUGUGUGUGUGUGUGUGUGCGCGCGCGCGCACCGCGCCUACCCCUCUCCGAGGCUCUGGUGGGAAUGACUCAGCAACACAGCCAAGCCUGCUCCAUUCUGCCAGCUCCAUGCAUCUGCCACCCGUCCUCGGCCUUGUCCUGCUUCUUAUCCCUGCAGCACCCACACAGCUGGCCCACAGGCCUGACUCCCUGAUGCCAGUCACAAAGCCGGAAGCCAUCCUGGGGUGGGGCUGCCUCAGACCCUCCCUCAGCUCUCACCCUGGCCCCUUCCAGCUGCUUCUCUAUGCAUGGGGAUCCUCACAGGACCUCGUUCACCACUGCCCAGUGAGGACGCACUCUGACUGUCCUCAUCCACAGAUUCAGAAAAGGAGCACCACCAGGCCACCCCCCAUUUGUGCCCUCUACUGAGGGAUAGGUCUGUCCCCAGGGCUAAAGUUACCAGCACGGACACUCACUAAAGGACUGCAGCAGCAGCAAUGAAGAGAAACAGCUAGAAACAACCUGUGCUCAUCCGGAAAGAUGCUUCCUGUAAAUCACUGUGCAUCUGCAGGGCAGGACCCCCAGCAGCCACUGGAGAGGCUAGGCGCUGUCUGUGCACGAAUUGGACUCGAGUUUUAACUAGGCAAAGAGCCACCUGGAAUAAAGACUUAUCUCCUAAUCAUCUUUGCAUGUAGAUUUGCUCACGUGACUAUGUCCCAGCAAAUGGGAGCCAAAUGGAAGUAUGAGUAAGUUCCAAAGAGUGCCCUAGGGGACAGAGAUAUGCCUUUGCUCAUGCCUUCUUUCCCCCAUUCUGCUGAUGAGAUGGUGACUUGAUGGCUAGCCACUGAGCAGCCUGGGUUUGUUUUUCUUUUGGUACCAGGGAUCGAACUUGGGUCCUUGCACUUGCGCAGCAGGAGGCGAAACCACUGAGCUAAAUCCCUGGCCCUGAGCAGCCUGUUUGGACCAUGAAUUGAAAGGUACAUACUAGAGAAUGGUAGGUAAAUUAUAUACAAGGGGGCUGAGUCCUAAUAUCAUGAAGGACCAGCCCUGUGCUGCUGCUUCAACAUGAGAACAAGAAGGACAACUGAGGUUUCAGGGAACAGGGAGCUAGGGAGAGCCUGGGUCCCUCUUGACAAUGUAGAGUGGCCAUAUUAACUCUGGGGCUUCCAUUACAUGAGAGGAGACACAUACUAUCUUAGGCAAGCCACUAUCUCCUUAGGUAUCCUGUCCCUUCCCAGCCAUCGAACCCCAAGUGAAAGCCAUGAGCCAGCUCCUCCAGGAUGAGGGUAGGGGAGAGCCUGCUAAGCUUUUCCCCCUCCCUGUCCUUGGGGAGUGCUCAGUCAGGAAGGGGCCUAGGAGCUAGGAAGGGGGAGGCAAAGCCUCUUUUCCUCCAGUCCCAGAGGAAUGGGAUGAGUGUGAUCCUGAAAUGAGAUGCAGGGCUUGGGUGUAGUUCAGAGGCAGAAUGUGUGCUUAGCCUGCUGAAAGUCCCAGGUUCCAUCCCUAGAAGCAAAAAAACAAAACAAACAAAACAGCAACCAUGUUAACUACUCUGGCCCCGGGGGAUUACAGGUAAUUUGAGGGUAGAGACCAGCACAAUGCAUAGCAUACAGUAGGUGCUCAAUAAACCUUUGCGGGCUAAUUAUGUGAUAUCCUGUAACCAGCACUCCCUCCACAGUGCAGCUCAGCCUCUCAGACCAACUGUGCAGCUCUGAGUUUUCUCAGUGGAGGAUGUCCCUCUGGGACAAGGUGAUUCAAAGCUUGCGACACAUGGUCAUGCUCAGGGUAGCACUGGCUCCUCACAACUCCAACAACAGGGGCUAUGACUGCAAUCUUCAGAGGAGAAAGCAAGGACCCGGAACUUGGAAACUGCUUGCUCAGGAUCAGCCACGAGGAAGUGCAGGAGCAGGAACUUGAACCCCGGGUUUUGAAUGAAAAACUUCACCUACCUGAAACAAAGGCUGCACAUGAGAUUCUUACACAAAGGCACCCUUUUCCCAACUGCUCAUCCCAACACGGAGGCCCUGGGUCAGGUUUGUGACGUCCUGAGGUGCUGAAGGGGUGGGACAAGGGAGGGGAAAGCUGUCAGGCAAUCCCUCAGCAGCUUGGAGGUCUGGGAGACAGAUUCGACCAGCACUGGUGAUAGCCCAAACAGUGCAUUUGCACAAACAGAACAAGGAACAGAAACUCGAGUUGCUUUACUGCCAUCUACUGGAAAUUUGUCAUAAUAAUCAUUCAAAUUUGUGGUAAAUGGGGAAAAAAAAAGAAGCCUCCCUAGAAUCAUACAGUGUAGAACCUGAACAACAUGUGGAGCAGCCCUAGAUGCACCUUUUCUCACUUGAGAGCAUGAAAAAAAAAAAAAAAAAAGACCCAUCACCAUGGAGGCUCCAGUCCUGUCUGCUUCCUUCUUGCAUGAGAGUCCCUGGCUCAUCCAGAGGUGCUACAGCCAUCUGCCUGCCCUAGUUUCACCAUGAGACCCAGUAGAAUCCAUGCAUCCUUCCACCCACUCCAGGCACACAUCCCAGACACCUACGCUGGGCCAGGUACCUAUCUGAAUUUUUCACCAAUUACUAGCUGUGCGUACUUGGACAUUUUCUUAGGCUACUGUCUACUCUUCAGUAUGAAGGGAUAAUAACCCAGCUGGCACUGUGAAUGAGACUUAAGUGAGAUAAUAUAUGUAAAGUCCUAGAAGCCAGUGGCUGACCCUGGACCUACUGCCAGCACCAUUAGAUCUGAGUUACACACAUGCAUGCAUGGGUGGCCAAAGGGAAGACAGGCUCUGGCACAUCUUCCCUCAGAAACAAUCAGGAAACUGUGGCACAAAUGCAUGAAUAUAAAGUUCUCAGUGUGAAGCUGAGCCCAGAGCACAGUGAGUGCCUGGGCACUGGCUUUUCUCCUUUUCCUCUAGUCCUGGCUGGAUCUGAAGCUGGCUAGGUGAGUUCAGGGUCCCUUUGAUUCCCAGGGAGAGAGAACAGUUGCAAGUUUCCUUUACCUGCAGGAAGAGGCUUCCAGACUACUGUGUGGCCAAGCCUCUGGACACCUCCAUUUCUGGCUCAAAGCAAGGCCACAGACCCAUAGAGUUUUAGUUUCUUCAUCCAUGAAAUGAAGCCAGUCAUAUUUACUUUGUAGCCAUUUAGGUAAUGCAAGAAGUAACUAAAAGGCCUCCAACCAUGCUGGAAACAAGCUAAACACAAAAUAAAUUAGAGAUGCAAUCUCAGCUCUGGGACCCAGGGGGCGUCUGGAGCCAGCUGAAGGAUUCUAUUCUCUGCCAUCAAACUGCCUACCACAAUUGGCAUGAGCACUUGAAAUUGCAGGUCCUAAAACUGAUGAGGAGGCAGGAUUGAGCUCACUCCAUCUCGCUCCUCCUAUGGGAGGGAAGUUGGUACACACUUUCCAGUGGGUAGGUAGGCAACAGGAUCCUUUUGACCCAGCCAUUUCAUUUCUAGGAAUUCAGCUAAGGAAAUAGUCACAGGCCCCUCAGAGUGUUGUGCUAGGACAUUCAUUGCAAUGUUGCUAAUAAUAGUGAGAAACUGGAAAUAAUCUAAAGUUAGAGACACAUUCAAUACACAUCUUGGCUGGAUGCCAAAUGGUCAAGUGCUAAGAUCAGUACUCAGCAGAAGCCAAGGCCAACGCUUUCCACCAUCUUCAUGCAGCCAGUGUCUUUGGUAAAGGAGUGAAUUUCAAGAAAAUGUUAUCAGACUUUGCAGUGCCAACAUCCUAAUCGACAUGUUUCACUGCCAGUGUUUGACAGUCUAACGUUACAGCUCAAGAACAGCAUUUUCUCAGUAUUAGCAGAAGAUGGAUUGUUUCUAUGUUAAAUACUGUGCACAUUUGUGUUAAUAAAUUGAUGCUUACAUUGACUGAUGCUUGUGGGAGAGUGUGACGGCCUCAUUUUUUCCCAAUACUUUCUUCUUUUCUCCAUAUUCUGUAUAUUCUUUCCCAUGUUGGGUUAAAUAUGAUUUGCCACAGAAAUAUUGAUCAAAAACUAUAGUCAAUGUUUAAAUAAAAAAUUAUUACAGAAAAGACACAUUGUCAUUAGUCCCCCUCACUUUGAACACACUUAUUCUAUUAUUCUUGCCACUUUCUGAAGCAGUUCUAGAAGUCUUCUUUUGUGAGUGUUUUUUUGUGUGUGAGUGCGUGUGUGUGCCUGCCUCAAUGUCCUGAACUAAUUAAAAAUGUUUACAGCAACUUCUGGCAAAUAAAAACAUUGCAGUGUGUCCUCAUCCACCUUACUUGUCAGAUCUAGCACCGUGAGGUUUCUGGUUCUUCCCCAAAGUCAAAAUGAUCAUGAAAGGUAAAUGUUUUGAACCAAUUCAAGAGAUUGAGGGACAGCCACAACAGUGCAAAUAAAGACACUCACAAAAGAAGACUUUCAGAACUGCUUCAGACAGUGGCAAAAAUGAUGGGAGAAGUGUGUUCCAAAGAGGAGGAGUAUUCUGAGGGGAAUUAAUGG
rnacentral:lncRNA from 1 species